rnacentral:rRNA from 1 species
CAGUAGCCGCGGUAAUACGAGGGGUGCAAGCGUUAUUCGGAUUGAUUGGGUGUAAAGGGUGUGCAGACGGCUUAUUAAGUCACUUGUUAAAUUCCUCGGCCUAACUGAAGGUCUGCAAGUGAUACUGAUGAGCUAGAGGGUGGAAGAGAGAAGUGGAAUUCUCGGAGUAGCGGUAAAAUGCGUAGAUCUCGAGAGGAACACCAAUGGCGAAGGCAGCUUCUUGGUCCAUUCCUGACGUUCAUACACGAAAGCGUGGGGAGCAAACAGGAUUAGAUACCCCCGUAGUCCCUGUCUCUUAUAC